rnacentral:rRNA from 1 species
GCAUGAACGCUGGCGGUAUGCUUAACACAUGCAAGUCGAACGGAUGUUUUCGGACAUUAGUGGCGGACGGGUGAGUAACGCGUGAGAAUCUGCCUAUAGGUUGGGGACAACAGAUGGAAACGUCUGCUAAUACCCGAUGUGCCGAGAGGUAAAAGCUUUAGUGCCUGUAGAUGAGCUCGCGUCCGAUUAGCUAGUUGGUUAGGUAAAGGCUGACCAAGGCGACGAUCGGUAGCUGGUCUGAGAGGAUGAUCAGCCACACUGGGACUGAGACACGGCCCAGACUCCUACGGGAGGCAGCAGUGGGGAAUUUUCCGCAAUGGGCGAAAGCCUGACGGAGCAAUACCGCGUGCGGGACGAAGGCUUUUGGGUCGUAAACCGCUUUUGUUAGGGAAGAAUAACUGACGGUACCUAACGAAUCAGCAUCGGCUAACUCCGUGCCAGCAGCCGCGGUAAUACGGGGGAUGCAAGCGUUAUCCGGAAUUAUUGGGCGUAAAGCGUCCGCAGGUGGUUUAUCAAGUCUGCUGUCAAAGCGUGGGGCUUAACCCCAUAAAGGCAGUGGAAACUGAGAGACUAGAGUACGGUAGGGGUAGCGGGAAUUCCCAGUGUAGCGGUGAAAUGCGUAGAUAUUGGGAAGAACACCAGCGGCGAAGGCGCGCUACUGGGCCGAAACUGACACUCAUGGACGAAAGCUAGGGGAGCGAAAGGGAUUAGAUACCCCUGUAGUCCUAGCUGUAAACGAUGACAACUAGGUGUUGCGCG